rnacentral:tRNA from 3 species
GUUUAUAUAGUUUAAUAAAAACUUUGGUCUUGUAAAUCAAAAUUAAGAUACUUACUUUAUAAACU